CGGCCAGGCGGAGGGCGCUGGCGGCGACACUGCGCAUGCGUGCCUGUACCCCAGGGCCGCGCCCCCCCUUCACUCUCCCCACACCCGCUGCCCGGAAGGAAGCCGCGGGCGGGCCUCGGGCGGGUAGCCGGUCUGCGCAGGCGCGAAGGGGCGCCGGCCGGGGCAGAGGUGACCCUGGGCUCCACUGAUGUUCCUUUGUCUUUGGUAUCUCAUCCUGUGGAACUAAACCGGGCACUUUGAAGGAGUCCCGUGCGUCGGUCACACUCACCUGGAGUGCAGAUAUCCUGGCGGUCCCACGUUUUGGGCAGGAAAGGCGCCGCUGGGGUCCGCCCUUGCUCGCUGGGGUCCGCCCUUGCUCGCUGGCUCCAGUGGCGCUGUUCUACGCCCUCCUUUCUUGUCUUUUCUGCGCUGGCCGCCGGGACAGGACACCUGCAGCAGGGUUGGUGCGAGUGUUGUCCCGGGAAGCUCCGGCAUGAGACGAGACGAUGAAAACCUUAAAUGUGGAACUGCGUCUCAGGCCGGUGUUCUGGCUGCAAGAGUCACCCCCAGAUCUCCCUCUUGCGCUAGGUCGGCCCGGCUGUCCCCAGCGGGCAAGGGCUGCUGUGCGCUGGGUCAAUUUAAAUUGGUGCUCCUCAAACUUGGAAAACUUUCUAGUUAUUCUCACUCCAAUACCUGGGGAAAAUACAAUAACGGUGAAAUUUUAGAAAAAUGUUCGCAUGAUUCGAUGCCAUGUAAUGGUAAACUGUAAAAGUUUAAAAAAUCUUUCAAUGUCUGCUGCAUAUAGCACUGGGUUCCCAGUACGAGGGCCAUAAGUUAGUAUUACCUUAGUGCGGCGCUUCUCAAAAGUGCCCUCCACCCGCAGCAGCAGCAUCCACUCGGGGUGGCCUCCCCCCAUUACUGAAUCAGAGACUCGGGGGGUGGAGCCCAACAAGCGCCCAAACUAGUCCUCCAGGUGAUUCUAAUGUAGGCUGUAGCUUGUUAACCACUGCCUUAGAGUUGUUGGAGGAUUAAGUGAUGUUUAAUCUGCUACACAUGGCUCAAUGCCAAAGAAAUUCAGCGUUUAAAAAUUUUUCUAGGAAGUUUCUUUUUCUUUUCCUUCAAGAAUUGUUGAGGAUAGGAGGAGGUCCUAUUGAGAAUUUGUCAUUCUCGUAGAAUAAUCAGUAUGAGAUUAGAAAAGGUAGAGUUUUUUUGGAUUAGAGGUAGUUUAGAAAUUGUGUGACUUGUUUAUUAUUAAUCGAAUUGGCAGUUUCUAUUCCCUGGUUUCCCCAUCAUUUCACCUUCAACUCAGCCGUAGGGGUUUAUUUUUUAUUCAAAUUCAGAGAUUGAGUUUUGAAACAAAUCUAGAUUAUUAAAUAUGUAUACUUAUAUAUAGAUAUAUAAAAUAUAACCAGAUUAUCUUAUAAUUACAUUUAUACCUCAUAAAUGUAUCUUAAUUUUUUUUUUCUUUUACAGGCAGGUAUUUCUAAGUGUAUGUUUAAAGGCAACACUUUUCAAAUGCUAAACUUCCUCAGCUUGUGCUAUACUUCCUGUUCACACACUACUGUGCCUUUGCUGUGCUCUCCCAGACACCAAAAAACCAAAUAAUCCAAAAACUCUUCUUCAGAUUUCCAAACUGGUUCAAGGUCAAGAAUGACCAAAAUUUACUUUGGCUUUAUCUUAACGAAAGGCUUCCCAAUCUGUUUCCUAAUAUGUAAAUGAGAUUUGGGGUAAAAGAUUAGCAAACAUUUCAGAAAUGAGCCAACAGUUUUUUUCAUAUCCCCACCAUAACUUUAACUGCAAAACCUCAGGACCUGGUUCCUUUCCAGGUUCUGCUGUCUUCAUAUAGCUUUGAGUGUUUUUGGUACACCGACACAUCUCUGUAUCUGGGCCAGUAAACUGCUUUUUUUUUUGGUGUAGGGCCAAGCCUACAAUGCAUAUGUUCUUAUUGUUCAUCUGUUGUAACUUUUUCCACAAAAAGUGUUUAAAAUUUAGAUUGUGGACAUUCCAGUCUCCACUCCGGAGCCUUGACAGGUUGCUGAAAGCCCUGACUGGCUCCAGAAAUGGGCAGUGUUAUUUCUUCAUCGGGUUUCAGUGGCUAUAAACUUGAAACUUAAGGAGUUAGCAGUAUGGUUUUGAAUGUUAAAUUCACGUCUACUGCAACUUGCAUCCUGUUUCUCAACUCCUCCUUUCUCUGUAUUACCACCAUUAUUUGUACCCUGACUCUCAAAAGUUGCGUGACAAAAGCAUUGCCUUUUGAUUUGAGAAGGCCUGUCUCCUUAGUGCCUUUAAAUCAGCCUAGUAUCAGGUGUGUGCUAUUAUCAAAUCCUUGUGGUUUUAAGUGUUAUCAUCUUAGCAUUCAUCCUACCAUUUUUAUAUCCUUAAGGAAAAUUCCACCCUUUUACAAACUGUGGCCUACUUACAGAUUUCCACGUUGAAAGAAGGAAAGAGUCAAACCUUCAAACUUUUUCAAUGUUUAAUUUUUCCCAGCCUACCUAAAAUGGAUCAAAACAUGAACAGGCCUACUUGGGUGAGUGGUGAAAACAGAACCUGCCCUGGACUGCCUCAUUUCCAGCCUGCUCUGUUCAGGUUAGGGGGCAUCUGGGCAGCACUGGCUGGCUGAUAGGGUACAUGACAAUGUGUUUUCCCUAUAUGUGGAGGUGGUCUCAUUCUGCUUCAGUGCCUGGCCACCAAGCAAUACUUUGAGAACUUGGGACGGAGGGACAAGGGGAAUUCAUACUUGUUGAACUGUAUUGGUAUUGUAUUGUUGAAAAUAGACUGGAGGUGGAAGGCUUAUAAUUAAAACCCCAGAGUGCCUUCCAUUUUGUUAAGUUGUGGGUUCCUUACAGUCAGAACUGAUCUUGUUUCCAAUGAAUUGCUAUAAUUAUUGUAAAAGCCCAAUAUAGUUUGGCUGUGUGACCUCACCUAAGUCUCAUUUCGAAUUAUGAUUCCCACGUGUUGGAGGAGGGGCCUGGUGGGAGGGGAUUGAAACAUGGGGGGUGGACUUUGCCCUUGCUGUUCUCAUGAGAGUGAAUGAGUUCUCACGAGAUCUGAUUGUUUAAAAGUGUGUAGCUUCCCUCUUUGUGCGCUGUCUCUCUCUCUUGCUCCAAUGUAUGAAGAUGUGCCAGCUUUCCCUUCUGCCAUGAUUGUAAGUUUCCUGAGGCUUACCCAGCCAUGCUUCCUGUACAGCUUGUGAAACCAUGAGCCAAUUAAAUCUCUUUUCUUUAUGAAUUACCCUGUCUCAGGUAGUUCUUUAUAGCAAUGUGGAAACAGACUAACACAAAGCCCAACUUUUAUUUUAUGUGGAACUUGUUUUUGCAUAUUGCAUUAGGAAAUGUUGCUAAUCUGUGUUUGGGAUUGAAUCUUACCUUCUUACAUAGUAUAGGUGGGAUUAGGUGUUUGGGAUUUGGAGUUGUCAUUUAAAAUAACUUUGGCAAAUUCGAUUCAGUCUUGGCUUUCUUGUGUUUAUGUUCUUAGUGUUCAUUGUAUUUGUUGUUAUAUUGCUUUUUUGGGGGCACUAAUAGAUGUUAAAAACGGGUGUAGAACACCAUCAGAAGGUAUCCUCUUCUAAGAAUUUUAAAUAUAAAUAGAAAAAACAGUAGGACAAUGUAUUAAUCCAAAAGGUGACUCUUUGGAAAAAAAAAUUGAACUACACCAAUAGUAUUUAUAAACAAUGAGCUCGUCUCAAGAAUAAAAGGAAGAAAGUACAAAUAUAGAAAAUAAGACCUGAGAAAAGGAAAUCAUAAAAACAGAAUUUAAAGAAUAGGAGACUAUUGAACUCUUUGAAAAUAAAUUUUAAAACUUUGAUGAAAAUAAUUUUUAGGAAAUAUAAUUGAUCCAGUCUGACCCUAGAAGAGGUAGAAAAUCUAAGCAGCUUGAUUUUUAUAGAAGAAAUAAAGUUGCCCAAGAGUUAACUCCUCCCAAAGCAUUAUGUCAGUUUCACCGGGAGUAUCUACUGAAUAUUUAAAGAGCAGAUAAUUCCAGCAUAGGAAUAAAUUGCUAUUUCUUCUAUUUCAGCCCAAAGGCCCAUUUUAGGCUGAAUUUAAUGAAGAAACAUUGAGAUUUCCACUGAUAGUCAAACAAAGGCAGAGCUCAGCCUAGUAUCUUGUGUCAGGUAUGCACUGUUAGUUUUUUUGGUGUUAUCUGAGUUUUGAUCCACGUUUAAAAAGAAAUCCUACCUUUUUUAUAUUCUUAAGGAAACUUCCACCUUUUUAUUAAGCGCUAUCUAGUUGUUGAUGUAUACUUUGUUAGAAGGUAAGAUUCAAACCUUUAAACUUUUUAUGUUUAAUUUCUCCCAGGCUACCUAAAUUGGAUUAUAACAUGAAUUGGCCUACUUUGACUGAUGGGUUAUUAUUUUACAUUAUUUUACAUUGUAUUGUAGAUACAGCCAAUAUGGUAAGACAAGGUAAGGCAAUUUGAAAUGUACAAAAGAGGAAAAAGGAUCAGAAGUUCUGAAAUACAUAUGGGAAUGUAGCAUUUGAUAAAGGUGAUAUCUCAAAUCAGUGGGGAAAAGGUGAAAUAUUUAAUAAAUGAUGUUGGGACAACUGGGUAGCCAUAUGGAAAAAAAGGUUGGAUCUCUACACCGUAAACCAGGAUAAAUUUUAAUGUUUGAUGGAAUAAAUUCCAGAUAUAUGAUGAUAAUAGCUUACACUUGUUAAGUGUCUUAUGUGCCAGGGACUGUAGUAAUUUACUUUUAAUCCUCAAGUAACCCAAAGAAGUAGUAACUAUUAUUAUCACCGCUUAUGGAUGUGGAAACUGAGGCCCAUAGAUGUUAGGCAGUUCAUCCAAUGUACAUUGCUGAUAAGUAGUGGAGCUGGGAUAUGAACCUAGUCAGUUUGGCUAUAGAGUUUCUGGGCUUAACUCCUAUACUCUUUUUCCGUUUACAUAAUUGUAAGACGAAACAAAGUAUGAGAAUAGAAUGUAUUUAUAAUCUGGGUGUGAGGAAAGCCUUUCUUAACCUUGACUUGAAAAUCAGAAAACAUAAAAGACUAAUAAAUUAGAUCAUAUCACGGUAAAAAUCUUCUGCAUUGCAAAAAUCGCCAUAAGCAAAGCCAUAAGACAAAUUAUGGUAAAUAGUUGCAAUUCGUAGGUGAAGGAGCAAUCUUUUUAGUUAUAUAAGAAGCUUCUAGAAAUUAAUAAGAAAAACGCUAUCCAUUAGAAAGAUAGACAAAGGUUAUGAACAGACCGUUUACAGAAAAGGAAGUACAAUUGGCUCUUAAGCAUAUAAAAAGAUGCUCAACUUCACUCAUAAUGAGGAGAAGGCAAAUGCCAUUUUUCAUUUUUCAGACUGACAAAAAUCUGGAACUUUGAUGAUACACUGUGUUGGUAAAUUCUAAAGGAAAAAGGCACUCCUCUACAUAGCUGGCAAGAGUAUAAAUUGACUCAACUCCUGUGGAAGGCAAUUUGGUUGUAUCUAUCAAAAAUUUAAAUGCAUAAUACCUUUGACCCAGAAAUUUCUGGGAAUUUAUCCUCAGGAUGUAACUUCCACGCAUGCCAAUGAUGACUACCAGGUUAUUCACUGCAGCUUUGUUUGCAAUAGCACAAGGCUGGAAACAACCCAGAUGCCUAUCAAUAGGGGCUAGUUAAAUAAAUUAUGGUUCAUUGUCACAAUGGAUAUGCAGCUGUAAAAGAAUGUGGAACAUCUGUAUGAAUGGGUAUGGAGGGAUUGCCAAGAUGUUGUGUUAAGUGGAAAAAGCAAGGUCUGAACAGUGCAGAUGGAUAGUAUGCUAACAUUCCUGUGAACAGGAGGGAAAACAAUGUGUAUGUAUAGAGAAACUUUGAAAUGAUAGCUAAGAAACUAAUAGCUGGGGAGGGGGAUAUGUGAUGAGAUGAGGAUGGAUGGAAGACAUAGACGUUUUACUUCAUGCUUUUUUGUAACUUUUGCUUCUUGUAAUGUGACUGCAUUUGUGAAUUAACUCCACUUUGAAGAUGAUCUGUCUUGCUGUUUUUAGUAUAAUUGACCACCUUUCUGUCAUCUUUUGUCAUACUUAUUUCAAGUUUUUUUUUUUUUUAAUUUUGCUCUUUUUCUUGUCAAGUACAUCUUUUUUUCUCCAACUUGCUUUUGUAAUCAAAAUCUACAUUUUGGCAUGAUUUAAAAAUCUAAAUUUAGAGAGUGAAAUUGGAAUAAGUUAAUCCAAGUCAUUUUACAUUUCAUAAAUAUUCAUUUUUAUUGAAGCAUCAAUUGUGGUGGCAUCAUUUAUACAAAGAACAGAUCUUUGGGGACAAAUUCCUUCCACUAUUAUGUCGAAGGCAUUAUGUGUAUUUUAUUGUGAGUGAUGUACAUUGAUUUUUUUCAAAGAAAAUGAUCGAAAACAGUUCUCCUUUUAGAAAAGUUGUCCCCAAUGUGUGAUUAAUUUCUAAAUUGUAGGAUACAGAACUGUUAUUUCUCCUCUUUUCAUCCUGCCCAUAGCUCUUUGAUUUUACAGCCUGUUCCAGAAUGUUUAGUGUUUCCCUGAAGUCCCAGGGAUGAGGGUAGUCCAUACCUCCCUCAGUGUGAUCCUUACCUACUUCUCCAGUCUCUUCUCCACUGUUUCCCUCUAGAACCCCAUGUCUUGCGUAACGUGUUUCACUCUUCUGCCUCUGCAUUGCUCACAUGACUAUACCCAUAGUGUGGAUUACAUACUCUGAUUGUUUUACUUAUUCAUUCAUUAAAUGUCUAUUAAAUACCUGCUUAGGAAAGACCUGUGUUGUCCGUAUAUCCUGAUCUUCAAGGAAGUAUCCUUGAAAUUUGCCUCCUCUAAUUUCAUUUCUCCUGGAAACCUAUCCCUUUUCUUUCCAGCCUAAGUGAUCCCUUUCUUCUCUACUAGACAAAUAGCCAUGUACUACUUUAUGAAUCCUUUCUAUGGCAUCUUGCAUUGCUAUUUACAUGUUUCGUUGCCUGGAACUUGCACAAUCUAUGUCUUACCUCCCCACAUGGGGAGCUCACAACACUUUACCAAGAGUGCUGCCUACACUAGGCAGUCAAUAAUGGUUUAUGGAUAUUGGGAAGAAUAUGGUUAAUGCCUGAGAACAAAGACCAGAAAUGUGGUCUUUUCAUGUGACUGUCACAAUACCGAGAAGUUAACAGAGCUGCCCCAUUGCCAAAUGGAAAUGUAUGUGAUAGGAGUGGAUUAUGUUAGCUGUGUCAGUUUUCCAGUAAGCCACUGGGUUGUCAUCAGGCAGCAGUUCCACCAUUUCCACUGGUGCCUGUCUCCUUACCACAUUUUAAGCUAAAAGAGGUAAGAAAUCAAAAGGGUAAGAGUCUGUCCAUGUCUUGGCUUUGCUUCUCUCAUGCUUCCAACCACCCUCAUUUGAAACGUACAUUUUACCUUGUGAAAUUUCCGCCUUUCCAUUUCCAAAUACUUAGGAGAUGUGUAGGUCCUGCUGUAACCCUGAACUCAGCUCUAAAACCAAACUUACUGUUUUGCUUUCAAAAGAUUGAUUGCAUAUUUUAAUUUCCCAACUUCUGUCAGCGGCAUGCUCUCCUCUCACAUCCCAGAAGACUCUUUCAGGGUCAUCUUUGAGCCUUAUCUCUGCAUUCCAGAUGUCCUUCCUUCCAUGAGUCCUGAGGACUUCUUGCCUUCAUUGGUCUCUGGUCUGUCUUUACUCUCUCCUGCCUGAGCUGUCCAGAGCAUCAUUAUCGACAUCUACCUAAAAUUAGAAUUUCAUUCUCUCACUGCUUAGGAAACAGCAGCGACUCUGACCUGUCCAAUAACACUUUUCAGUGCUGGACACUUUCUGUAGUUUGCUGCUGGCCUCAGCAUUCCAGAUCUCCACUUCCACCCUGAGUCUGGCUCCUGCUCUGAGCUCCUUCCUCCUAGGUUGUUAUGGUCUGAAUGUGUAUGUGCCCCUACCAAAUUCCUGUUGAAAUCCUCACCCUCAAGGUGAUAGGUGAUGGGAUUAGUAGGUGGUGGCUUUGUGAGGUGAUUAGUCAUGAGGGUGGAACCCACAUAAAUGGGAUUAGUGCCCUUAUGAAAGAGACCCCAGAGAACUAGCUAGUCUCUUUGGCCAUGUGAGGAUGCUUUGAGAAGGCAUCGUCAGUGAACCAGAAUUUGGGUGCUCUCUAGACACCAAACCUGCCAGCACUUUGAUCUUGGACUCCAGAGCUGUGAGUCUCCAGAGCUGUGAGAAAGAAGUUCCUAUGGUUGAUCAAGUGCUGGGUUAUGGUAGAUUGUUACAGCAGCCUGACGGACUGACACAAGAUGUUUUUUUUCUUGAAGGCUUGUUGAAAACAUCUUGGGCCUUUCAAGGCUAAACUCAGCUUUUUCUACUUCUGUGCUGCCCGUUGGGGCUGUUUCGCUUGGAUUGCUCUUAGCAUUGGAGCUGGAAGUAGGGCUUUGGGACUCUGUUUUGUGCUCAUUCCAGUCUCUCCUUGGGGAAAUGAAGGUUGAAUCCCUUUUGUAUAUUUGGUGCUCAGUGGUAGUCAUUUUCCUUACUAUGUUUUCUGAACUCCUACCCUGGUUAUAGAGCCUGCUGGCAUGAUCAGAGCGCUCUGAUUCCAGCUGCUUUCUCCUGGCUAUCCUAUCAAAAUGCUCUUCCUGUUCGGUGAAAUACUUGAUGACUGACUCAUGAUGCCAAAUGCUUGAUUUCUCCUUCACUAGAGACCUGCAUGUCCCUUGGGUCAGCUGGUACCUUUUCUGUAAGCUUGGCCUCUUAUGAAAGGGAACAUAGGCUAUUGCCCAAUGUUAAAAAAAAAAAAAAAAAAAAAAACAACAUGGUUUCUUGUAUUUCUGUAGGAAUUUUGUAUCCUUUCAUGCAAGUGCAUCUAUAGUGUUUCUCAGCAGGGUAUAUUCUGAUCCACUAACUUGUUGAACAAGUGUAUUAAAUUUGCAUUAUAAUACAACAAAGACUGGUAAUGAAACUGGAAGAAAUGUGGCGACAAUAUAUUUAGACGAUUAUAUCAUAAUUACAUUGAAAAAAAUGAAGCAUAAAAUGUAGGAACAUCAGAUGUCUUCCCAGAGCAUAUGUAUAUAAAAUGAAUUCUUUCUAAGAUGUUACUGUAGGAAACUAAUAAUAAUAGUGUUGAAUUUUCCUUUGAAAAGUUUUCAUAUUUUACAUUUGAUUCAAAAAAAUUAGUUUGCUGUUAGGUCUAUUUUAUACUUUGUAUAGGUCAAAAGCCAUGUGCAAAAUUAAAAAGCAUUGCUCAGAUGAGGCCACAAAUUAUCCUUUGGCCUGCUAAAAGGAUGUGAUGUUUUAACAGAUUGUACCCAAAAGGGAAGAGUCAUGAAAAUGAAAUACUUUGAGACAAUUCAUUGCAUUCCAGCUGGAGAAAAUGAGACCCGAAGUAAAAAAUCUUGAAUGCACUGUCUUUAGCAGAUGAAAAAAAAAAAAAAAAAAAAACAACUGUGUAAGAGUUUGCAGAAUCAAAUAGCCAGCUGUCACACAGGGCCCCCGAGAAAGCAUUGCAUUGCUGAAAACUCCAUUGCCUUACCUCUUCCUGGGAGGCAGUUUAUAAACAGCCACCU